rnacentral:lncRNA from 1 species
GGGCACUGAUGAGCAAAGGCAGAGCCAAAGGCUAAACUAGCAGGAGGAUGCCAAAGUUCCUGACAUUGGACUGAGUAGCGAAGGGAAGGCGUUCAGGAAAACAAGGGGGGAAUAUUACCCCAGCCCCCUCUAAAGGGGGAGUACCGAGAAUGAAAGAAUAGUUAAAACUGAGAAUUACCUGGAGUUGAGAACCUUCUAAAUUCUCUCCAGGAGGAUAUUUUCCCCAGAAGAAACCCAAGAGGAGGAUUCUAUAAACUGGAAGAGCCCUAAGGAAGGAGACCACUGAUUUAUCAUGGGAGCUGGUGUUCUGGUGAAAGGUCUUAUCCAAGAGGAGCAACCAAAUGGACUGGCCUAUGGAAAUGAGCCAAAGGGGCCAACUGCAGAGUUGCUGAGCUGUUAUCUGAGGGGGACUUACACAAGGCUGAGCUCCGCUUACCAGCUGAGGAUACAACACAGAGACUUGCUAAGACUAAUAUUUAAGGUGAUGUGUACAACGGGCCAGCCAGGAGCUAUGGAGGGAAAGUGGAGUCUGAAUUUCUUCAUCUCGUCAGCCACGGCAGUGGAGCUGAAAUCUAAGCUUCUCUAUGCGUUCCAUAGUGCUAAGUGGUUGGCUAAUCGGAGACGGCACUGGGCUGGUAUCACUGGCUGAAAAUGUAUUAAAGAAGAAAUCUUGGAACAAACCCGAACAAGAGUUUUUAGAUCCGGUCAGGCCAGGGCUUCCGUUUGCACGGCCUUUCUGUGUUUUUGAGGAUUCGUAGACACCAAAACCGUUUUGGGAGGGUGGCCAAACUCCGCAGAUGGUGGAAGAUUUCACCACCAGAGCUGAUUCUUGAAAUAACUGCAGGGUUGGACGGCCCUCCCUUCCACUUCUCAUGUUGUUAUGCCGCCUACACUAGGAAGGUAAAGGCUAGGGAAUGUAGAGCCAAGGGAGAAGGACCCUUACCCAAGUUUCCCAAAGAGCUGGGUGAGGGGAAGGAGUCUCGUCUCUCCUUUAUUCAAAUCCAUUUUCCCAGCCUUCCCUGCCUGGCCUCACCUCUCUUAGAGCUUGUGAUGAGUCGAAGGGGACCAGGCCUGGCUACCAGCAAUGACCAUUAUUGAAUAUACAAAAUCAUUUUAUCGGUUGAUAUAGGAAGCUGCAGCAUAUAAAAAUUUCAUAUAUCCAGUCUGUUGUAUAAACAGGCUAAAUCCCUAUACGUUUUUAUAACUUCAGCAGUCUAAAGGUUAAAGCCUGUCAGUUGAAUUUCACGAAUUCCAGGAAGGAAGGAGUGGAGAAGGGGCACCAACUCUUCAUUGUGUACUAGUGAUCAAACAUCUCCUCAUUACACUUCAAUAUUGUUGCCUCUAAAGGUCAGCAUUGCUGAACAUAAUCACACAAAAUCAAAACUGCAAACUUUAUAUAUCAUAGAGGUAGUAAAUAGCUGGGAGGUUUAUUUUCUGGUGCCUGAACAACAUUCUCAGUCCAUUUAUAAAUCUCUGGGAACAGUGGCAUGAACCAAACACAUUUCCUCUGCCUAACCAAAGCUUCCAUUAAAUCCAUUUCCCAGAAAAAUCUUCUCGAUCGCUUUUCGACCAGAACUCACCCAUUCAAUGAAGGAACUGUCUGUGUUUAUAACUGGCUUUCUCCCUUCUCUUCUUACUUGAAAAAUGCGAUUGAGGCCUGCUUUUUUUUUUGUGUGUGUGUGUGUCAUUUCUUAACAUACUGGAGAUAGGUCAGCUGCCCUGAAGGGAAAAUCCUAUAGAGCUGAUUUUGUGAAAGUCAGGGAUGUCCCACCAAUUGGGUGUCGACUCCGUGAUCUUCCUAUUCAUUGACUUUUAUAUCAUUUGCGGUGCCGGAUACUUCUGAGAUCUAGAGGCUUCUGAGAAGCCAAUCACUUCUUUCUCCAUCACCUAUGUAGAACUUCAUGGUGGUAUGUUAUAUCCUCCAUUUCAGAAGGUUUGUCCAAAAUGAGAAAGGCAAACACACAUAUACAUGCACACAUGCAAAUACCUGUAUGGGUUGUCACUUGAGUGACUUUUCAGAAUUCCAUGCCUCUCUCCAUUAUACCCCUAAUUGGCAGCCCGUGUUGGAAGAUCAAUAAUAUUUUGUUUAAAAAAUCAUAUUUCUUACAAAUUAUUCUGUGGAAAUAAAAAC